ensembl:snRNA U1 U1 spliceosomal RNA
AUAUUCACAGCAGGAAUACAAAGGUGAUUGUUCCCAGGCAAGGCUUUCCUACUGCAUUUUAGGGUGCGCUGAUUUCCGGAAUUUCCCCGGAUAUGGCAACCUUCACUCCAUAAUUUGUGAUAACGGGGGACUGAUUUCAUGUUCUCUUC